UAAAAAUAAAGACUAAGAGAGAGAGAGGGGGGGGAGGGAGGAAGGGAGAGAGAGAGAAAAAGAGAGUUUGAGAUGUCAAACCGCCAUCUUGAGCAGUGGUGCAGCAAAAUGGGGGAGGGAGGUCCGAAUUUGAAAAUCUUCCCGGGCCUGCACUUGAAAAAAAAAAGGGGGGGGGGAGGAGGUACAAAUGAGUGUCAAAAAUUUGUUUUACACUAAAUAUUAAAUAUUACGGCAUUAUCGUAGUCAUGAUGUCGAAUGUCAAAAGAGGUCAAGCCCCCAGGGCCCCCCAAAUCUCUGGCCAGUAACCUUGAUUUUUCUUCCAAUCGAAAUGGUAAUUCUCUUUCUUAAUUUCAUGUAGCUUGUUAAGAAAUGAUUUUAGAUUUGGCGCGUAAAUUGUGGGUUUGUUUAAUGUGUUUAUUUUUUAGUAGUGACACUUGCAACUAGCAACUAUGACGUAGGUGGAAAAAUAGGAUUGGAAAUAUAGAUGUGAAAUAAAAGUUAGUUGAUAGGAGUGCGUCUCGUUAGGGUUAGGUACUGAAAAGUAUCCUGAACUUCGUGUUUUCUUGUAGCGACAUCGAAGACAGUGGGCGUCUAGUUUUCCAUGAUGAAUUAAAUGUAUUCAAGCUAAGAAAAUGUGUCCUUUUCAGACCUGGUGACGGCAGAUGACGUAAAGGUCAUGUUUCUGUGUCCCAUGGUUAACGAGG